rnacentral:rRNA from 1 species
CCUACGGGAGGCUGCAGUAGGGAAUCUUUCACAAUGGGCGAAAGCCUGAUGGAGCAACGCCGCGUGCAGGAUGAAGGCCUUCGGGUUGUAAACUGCUUUUAUAAGCGAGAAAUAUGAUGGUAACUUAUGAAUAAGGAUCGGCUAACUACGUGCCAGCAGCCGCGGUCAUACGUAGGAUCCGAGCAUUAUCCGGAGUGACUGGGUGUAAAGAGUUGCGUAGGUGGCAUAAUAAGUAGCUAGUGAAAUCGGGUGGCUCAACCAUUCAGACUAUUAGCUAAACUGUUAAGCUCGAGACCGUUAGGGGUAACUGGAAUUUCUAGUGUAGGAGUGAAAUCCGUAGAUAUUAGAAAGAACACCGAUAGCGUAGGCAGGUUACUGGGACGGUUCUGACACUAAGGCACGAAAGCGUAGGGAGCAAACGGGAUUAGAUACCCUGGUAGUC